GACGAACGCUGGCGGCGUGCUUAACACAUGCAAGUCGAGCGGAGCGGCGAACGGGUGAGUAACGCGUGAGUAACUGCCCCCCUCUCUGGGGUAACAGUUGGAAACGGCUGCUAAUACCGGAUAGUGGGGGAUGACUCGCGUCCUAUCGGCUUGUUGGUGGGGUAGUGGCCUACCAAGGCGACGCCGGGUAGCCGGCCUGAGAGGGCGAGUGGGCACAUUGGGCUGGGGUACGACCCAAGCGCGUACGGGGGGCAGUAGCGGGGAGUAUUGCACAAUGGGGGAGACCCUGAUGCAGCGACGCGCGUGCGGGAUGACGGCCUUCGGGUUGUAAACCGCUUUCAGCUAAUACGCGGUAGUGGCAGAAGAAGCACCGGCUAACUACGUGCCAGCAGCCGCGGUAAUUC
rnacentral:rRNA from 1 species